rnacentral:rRNA from 1 species
UCCUAACUCUUUCUUCGUGCCUAAUACAUGCAAGUUGAGCGAUGAAGAUUGGUGCUUGCACCAAUUUGAAGAGCAGCGAACGGGUGAGUAACGCGUGGGGAAUCUGCCUUUGAGCGGGGGACAACAUUUGGAAACGAAUGCUAAUACCGCAUAACAACUUUAAACAUAAGUUUUAAGUUUGAAAGAUGCAAUUGCAUCACUCAAAGAUGAUCCCGCGUUGUAUUAGCUAGUUGGUGAGGUAAAGGCUCACCAAGGCGAUGAUACAUAGCCGACCUGAGAGGGUGAUCGGCCACAUUGGGACUGAGACACGGCCCAAACUCCUACGGGAGGCAGCAGUAGGGAAUCUUCGGCAAUGGACGAAAGUCUGACCGAGCAACGCCGCGUGAGUGAAGAAGGUUUUCGGAUCGUAAAACUCUGUUGGUAGAGAAGAACGUUGGUGAGAGUGGAAAGCUCAUCAAGUGACGGUAACUACCCAGAAAGGGACGGCUAACUACGUG